rnacentral:rRNA from 1 species
UACGUAGGGGGCAAGCGUUGUCCGGAUUUAUUGGGCGUAAAGAGCGUGUAGGCGGCCAGGUAGGUCUGCUGUGAAAACUCGAGGCUUAACCUCGAGAUGUCGGCGGAAACCAUCUGGCUAGAGUCCGGAAGAGGAGAAUGGAAUUCCCGGUGUAGCGGUGAAAUGCGCAGAUAUCGGGAAGAACACCCGUGGCGAAGGCGGUUCUCUGGGACGGUACUGACGCUGAGGCGCGAAAGCGUGGGGAGCGAACAGG